UACGAAGGGGGCGAGCGUUUGUUCGGAAUUACUGGGCGUAAAGGGCGCGCAGGCGGUCCUUCAAGUCAGAUGUGAAAGCCCCGGGCUCAACCUGGGAAUGGCAAUGGAAACUGGCGGGCUGGAGUAGUGGCAGAGGGGGGUGGAAUUCCGCGUGUAGCAGUGAAAUGCGUAGAGAUCCGGAAGAACACCAGUGGCGAAGGCGGCCUGCUGGGCAGUGGCUGACGCUGAGGCGCGACAGCGUGGGGAGCAAACAGG
rnacentral:rRNA from 1 species